UACGAAGGGGGCUAGCGUUGUUCGGAUUUACUGGGCGUAAAGCGCACGUAGGCGGAUCGUUAAGUCGGGGGUGAAAUCCUGGAGCUCAACUCCAGAACUGCCUUCGAUACUGGCGAUCUUGAGUCCGGAAGAGGUGAGUGGAACUCCUAGUGUAGAGGUGGAAUUCGUAGAUAUUAGGAAGAACACCAGUGGCGAAGGCGGCUCACUGGUCCGGUACUGACGCU
rnacentral:rRNA from 1 species